rnacentral:rRNA from 1 species
UACGUAGGGGGCAAGCGUUGUCCGGAUUUAUUGGGCGUAAAGAGCGUGUAGGCGGCCCGGAAGGUCAGCUGUGAAAACUCGAGGCUCAACCUCGAGACGUCGGUUGAAACCACCUGGCUAGAGUCCGGAAGAGGAGAGUGGAAUUCCCGGUGUAGCGGUGAAAUGCGCAGAUAUCGGGAAGAACACCCGUGGCGAAGGCGGCUCUCUGGGACGGUACUGACGCUGAGACGCGAAAGCGUGGGGAGCGAACAGG